GAUGAACGCUGACAGAGUGCUUAACACAUGCAAGUCUACUUGAUUCUACUUCGGUAGUUGAUGGUGGCGGACGGGUGAGUAACGCGUAAAGAAUCUGCCCUUUAGUUUGGGAUAACCUUUGGAAACGAAGGCUAAUACCGGAUAUUAUGGAGACGUCGCAUGGCGACUCCAUGAAAGCUAUAUGCGCUAGAGGAGGACUUUGCGUCCCAUUAGUUAGUUGGUGAAGUAAUGGCUCACCAAGACCGCGAUGGGUAGCCGGCCUGAGAGGGUGAUCGGCCACAAGGGAACUGAGACACGGUCCUUACUCCUACGGGAGGAAGCAGUGGGGAAUAUUGGACAAUGGGCCACAAGCCUGAUCCAGCAAUUCUGUGUGCACGAUGAAGGUCUUCGGAUUGUAAAGUGCUUUCAGUAGGGAAGAAAAAAAUGACGGUACCUACAGAAGAAGCGACGGCUAAAUAUGUGCCAGCAGCCGCCGUAA
rnacentral:rRNA from 1 species